UACGUAGGGUGCGAGCGUAAUCGGAAUUACUGGGCGUAAAGCGUGCGCAGGCGGUGAUGUAAGACAGAUGUGAAAUCCCCGGGCUCAACCUGGGACCUGCAUUUGUGACUGCAUCGCUAGAGUACGGCAGAGGGGGAUGGAAUUCCGCGUGUAGCAGUGAAAUGCGUAGAUAUGCGGAGGAACACCGAUGGCGAAGGCAAUCCCCUGGGCCUGUACUGACGCUCAUGCACGAAAGCGUGGGGAGCAAACAGG
rnacentral:rRNA from 1 species